rnacentral:rRNA from 1 species
UACGUAGGGGGCAAGCGUUGUCCGGAAUCAUUGGGCGUAAAGAGCGUGUAGGCGGUUCGGUAAGUCGGAUGUGAAAGCUCGGAGCUCAACUCCGAAAUGGCAUUGGAAACUACCCUGCUAGAGGAUUGGAGGGGGGACUGGAAUACUUGGUGUAGCAGUGAAAUGCGUAGAUAUCAAGUGGAACACCAGUGGCGAAGGCGAGUCCCUGGACAAUUCCUGACACUGAGGCACGAAAGCUAGGGGAGCAAACAGG